UACGUAGGUGACAAGCGUUGUCCGGAUUUACUGGGCGUAAAGAGCGCGCAGGCGGUCGUGCAAGUCGCGUGUGAAAGCCCCCGGCUCAACUGGGGAGGGUCACGCGAUACUGCUCGACUUGAAGGCAGGAGAGGGAAGUGGAAUUCCUGGUGUAGCGGUGAAAUGCGCAGAUAUCAGGAGGAACACCAAUGGCGAAGGCAGCUCGCUGGGACGUGACUGACGCUGAGACGCGAAAGCGUGGGAGCAAACAGG
rnacentral:rRNA from 1 species